UCCCAGGAGGACUAGUGGUUAGGCCACGGUGCUCUCACCGCUGUGGCCAAGGUUUGAUUCCUGGCCAGGGGU